GCGCUGGGGGGCGCUUCCCGCCCCACCCCGCCUCCAGAACAACGGGUUCCCGCUGCUGCCCCCUGCCGCUCGCCGCGGCUCCGACGGAGGCGUCGGGGGGCGCCGCUUCCGUGGGAACCGGGCCCGGGACGUGCUGCGGCUGGCCGGUUUCCUGUCAGAAAACUUGCAGCGACUUUCGGGAAGCCGGUGGGAGCCCCCCGGGCCCGGGCGGCCGGAGUUGUCCGCGGGUCCCUCGGCCUGACGACCUCCCUCGUACUUUGGAACAACGGGGGACGGGCUGGGGCGCAGCGACGCGCGGCUCACUCCGGAAACCGGAGUGCUGCUUGUGGGGGGUUUUUAAAGGGCUACCAACCGCGGCAACUCGGGGUUUGCCGUUGAAACCAUUUUCUCCCCCCUGUGUGGACACAAAGGUCGGGAUCAGGAAAGUUGAUUGCAGCCCGCAUGACUGCGUUUCCUUGACUUUAUUGCUUUAAAAAAAAAAGAAAAGAAAAACAACCCUCGUGGCCUUCUCUAAAGAGGCACGCUGCUUUCUGAAUCCGAGAGGGAGAAAAAUAAUUCGAGAGAUCCUGGAAAAGUUCAAUGAGCAAGCCACAUUUCGACAUUUCCCAGAUUUUGCAAUGUUAAACUGGGUCUGUGCCAACUUACUGACACACUAUAAAUUUCUCAAGAUGAAGGGUGUUCAACCAAAUUGCCAGGCCCCGUAAGCAGGCACGAACAGCACUGGCUUAAUUACACCUUUUCUUUCUCUCGCAGCCUUAUUUAAUUCGCUGCCGGAUGAAGUCCUCAUCCCGGGUGUCACUAACUGGCCCUUUUCUGGGGCUGAACAAUCACACACUUCCCAUGCCUCAGUAGCUCCAAGAAUUGUAUAAACCAUCGCCCUCUGUUUCCGUUCUCGAGUCGAUCUUGUCCUAAAAUGCAACCCAAUCAGGUGAUUUGACACAACUUUCAACUAAUUUCUUCUGUGGUGACGUAGUCUACUCGCGAACUGUGACCAAGUAUAGAUGUCUCUGGCACCCUUGACAUUUUCUAGAAUUCUGUGUUAAACAGCUGUAUGACCAAGAAAUAAAAAGGGAACUUUUGAAGGGAAA